ensembl:snRNA U2 U2 spliceosomal RNA
AUCACUUCUUGGCCUUUUGGCUAAGAUCAAGUGUAGUAUCUGUUCUUAUCAGUUUAAUAUCUGAUAUGUCCUCUAACCAAGGGUGGAAAGACUAUCAGUGUAAUGAUUGAAAAACUUACAAAGAAUGAAUCUUUU